CUCCAAAUCAGCAUAUUGAUCCUUCUUUGAUCCUCUUGGCUUGAAUGACCGGAGACCUCAACUUGUCUCAGAAAACAUGCCUACUCUUAAAAGGAAAGUGAAAGAACAUGAAAGAAAAAACAAGGAAAUAGGCAGAAAAUGUUUUAAAAUCAAUCAAAUGUUUUCAGGAAAAAAGAAGAUCACAGAAACCGUCUCAAGGUGGAAAAUGUCAACAGCAUAUUAGCCAUUAAGCUAAAUGGCAAGGUAAACUACAGAGAGGCGGUGAAGCACUGGAUGAAAAAACAAAGAAGAAUAUUUUCUUGUAGACCACACACAGCUGGCCACCGACCACACUCUCCAAUCAGAAACACCUGUACUGUAGAUUGUGAGCAACAACCAAGGACAACGCACAUAAACUGACCCACCCAAGCUACUUGGAGCCCAACUUUCCAGUUCAAAAAGCUACAGCACAGCGCCUAAGAGGAUAUUUACAGCCAGUGACAAGACGGCAUCCGCCUGAGCCUGCAUAAAUAGUUGGACGGCUGUGGCGAUUGCUCUUCUUCAGUUACCAAAUCUGCACUCAACAUUUCAGAUGACAACCGAGGACUCUGCACCUGAGCCACCCAAGCUACUUGGAGCCCAACUUUCCAGUUCAAAAAGCUUCAGCACAGCGCCUAAGAGGAUAUUUACAGCCAGUGACAAGACGGCAUCCGCCUGAGCCUGCAUAAAUAGUUGAACGGCUGUGGCGAUUGCUCUUCUUCAGUUACCAAAUCUGCACUCAACAUUUCAGAUGACAACCGAGGACUCUGCACCUGAGCCACCUAAGCUACUUGGAGCCCAACUUUCCAGUUCAAAAAGCUUCAGCACAGCGCCUAAGAGGAUAUUUACAGCCAGUGACAAGACGGCAUCCGCCUGAGCCUGCAUAAAUAGUUGGACCCUUCUGUUUUGAACAGCUGACACCUACAUCUUUACUCCAGAUGACCUGUAGGACGUUUGAUCAGCUACCUGCAUCCAAUCCACAUGGUAAAAUCUACUUGAAUAUGGUGACUUUAUAUAAAUCUGAUGUGAAAAAAUCCCUUCAAAUAUGGCUGCCGUUCGUGCAUAAAAUAAGAACAACUUUUGACUAUGGAAACUUGAUGUGUAUUCUCCACAUAACAGAUGACGGAAACAUCCGGUAUGGAAGUAGGAACUACCGCCAUGAAUAGUAAAGAUAGACGAGCGGAGCAGGAACUUCCAGUUGCGUCAUCAAGCUUCCGGAAAUGUCAUCUGUUGAGAUAUGUAUGGAUUCUCUUUUUCCAGCAUUGUGAUUUGAUCGGUGAUACACGGACUGUGACUUCCGGUCACGUGUACCUUCACUUCCGGCCGCGCCUAUAUCCGGAGGCCAUACUAACAUAUGGCGGGCUCAUUUAAUGUAUGAGAUGUUAUAAAAAUGGGUAAAUGGAAUUGAAGGAAGGGAUUUAUCACUGUGAAGGAUAGGAUGUGUUUAGACUAGAAGUGCCAUGUCUGGAAUUAGGUUAUUUUCUGGUAAUAGGAAGUGCGGUACAAAUUCCCCUCACUCACAAUGCUUUCCAUCUGCCUUGACAAAGAUAUAUGUGAUAUUGAAACGCAUUGGCUAGGAAAGCGUGCAGAGUGCGGACCUAUACCCACAGGAGCAGGUAGGACGGUUCCAGGGACGCCUGAGGUUCUUCAUAGCUUAUGUGUGUUUGUCUACAUUUCCGGUAGACAAUUCCAUCUGGUAUGAGUCCACACUUGUGCAUUGUGUAUUUCACUUUGUUCAUUCAUGAUUAGACCUACCGAUUGGGGGGAAUCUAUUUUAUGCUGUACAGAGUUUUAAUAAAUUGUAUUGGAAACUUUUACACUAUGGAAGUUCUUUUUGAUUUACAUGUGUGUAAACU